AACAGCUGGGGCCGGUGCAACAAACAAUCCCCUCGCCUUUUACUAGGGGAUUCCGUGCACCGGCUCUGUUUCAAAAGCUGUCCAGUAAUCUUUGGAAUUGUGCUUCCUUGUGAAGCUAU
rnacentral:snRNA from 1 species